rfam:Prevotella sp. CAG:485 genomic scaffold, scf310
GGUCCGGUAGCUCAAUUGGAUAGAGCAACAGCCUUCUAAGCUGUCGGUUCCGGGUUCGAUUCCCGGCCGGAUCA